GAUGAACGCUGGCGGCGUGCCUAAUACAUGCAAGUCGAACGGGGAGUAGCAAUACUCUUAGUGGCGAGCGGGUGAGUAACGCGUUGGUACCUGCCCCGAAGCGGGGGAUAACGGACCGAAAGGUCCGCUAAUACCCCAUGUGCUCGGUAACGAGUAAAGGUGAAAACCACUUUGGGAGGGGCAUGCGUCCCAUCAGCUAGUUGGUAAGGUAACGGCUUACCAAGGCGAUGACGGGUAGGGGACCUGAGAGGGUGGCCCCCCACAAUGGAACUGAAACACGGUCCAUACACCUACGGGUGGCAGCAGUAGGGAAUAUUGGUAAUGGGCGCAAGCCUGAACCAGCAACGCCGCGUGUGCGAUGACGGCCUUCGGGUUGGAAAGCACUUUUGACUGGGACGAGGAAGGACGGUACCGGUCGAAUCAGCCUCGGCUAACUACGUG
rnacentral:rRNA from 1 species